AAAAGUAGAUUUGGAUUUGUGUAUGUAGAACAGAACACGUAACGUUAGCAUCAAAGUUAUGUUGUUACAGUCCAUCGCAACUGUAUUUAUUGGUUUUUAUUUGAGUGCGAAAGCUUUUGCCGCACCCUGUAGUUACCGAUUACAGUGCAUCUGAAGUCAUGUAGCAGUGCACUGUAGUGCGAAGUGCAUGAGACGGUUUGAUAUAUUGAUUGGAAGCCUUGUGCACAUGUUUAUGAGGCUCAUAUUUCCAUGCGGCAUUGUCUUUCAAACCUUACAGCUGUGCUGAAUUGUUGCUUUGCUUUCUUUGUAGGACACUGAACGAGAGCUCUAGAUGAGAAUGAUAUGUUCUCUGCACUUCGCUCAUAUGCGCAAUGUAACCAGUGGAAGUAGAAUAUAACACGAUUAUCACUGGAAAAGCACAUUCCUCCAAGGACCGUUUACCUGGCAUGAAUCAGUGAAUACGCAACAUUACGGAGGUAAUAGGAGCUAACCAGGUAGCCCAAGAUAAUCGACUACACAGCCAUCAGACAGGACCGUUGGAGAACGAGGCCCGCUAAGCUUACCUUUACCGCAGGCGGCCUCAAAAUCUAUGAUGUCGUGGCAAGCUGGUACGGGAACGUUGAGGUGUCAUUACCGCACAUUCUUCAUUUUUACAUCUUUCCUGGUUUACCAAGCCUUCUUUCAUGGUCCCUUACCUUUGCUGUAAACUGUAAAGAAGCAUUGCUAGUUUCGCAUCCUGAUACAUCUUGAGGCAGGAUUCAUAAAGAGCAAGUGAUUGCAGUCAACCAGGUAUGUAUCUACAAUUAGAUACUUGCCGGAGCUGAUAUGCAGUUCUGAAGUUCUGUUUUCUUCCUUUUUGUUUUCCUGUGUUCAAUUUCAAGAGCUCAAGACGCACGCGCACAUAUGUACCUGGU